UACGGGGGGAGCAAGCGUUGUUCGGAUUUACUGGGCGUAAAGGGCGCGUAGGCGGCCAGUGCAAGUCAGUUGUGAAAUCUCCGAGCUUAACUCGGAAAGGUCAACUGAUACUGCUCGGCUAGAGUGCGGAAGGGGCAACUGGAAUUCUUGGUGUAGCGGUGAAAUGCGUAGAUAUCAAGAGGAACACCUGCGGCGAAGGCGGCGUCCUGGACCAACACUGACACUGAGGAGCGAAAGCCAGGGGAGCAAACGGG
rnacentral:rRNA from 1 species